UGCUUGAUUGCUUUUCUUAUUCCGACCUCGGCGGCGACGGACUGUUAAUCCGCAGGUCCCUGGUUCGAGCCCAGGUCGGGGAGCCA
rnacentral:tRNA from 1 species